rnacentral:rRNA from 1 species
UAGAUGCGAGAGUAGAGCAUAUCAAUAAGCGGAGGAAAAGAAACUAACAAGGAUUCCCUUAGUAACGGCGAGUGAGGCGGGAAGAGCUCAAAUUUGAAAUCUUCAAGGUUUUACCUUGACGAAUUGUAGUUUAAAGAAGUGUUUUCUGUUGAAGUUUUGGUAAAAGUUCUUUGGAAUAGGACAUCAUAGAGGGUGAGAAUCCCGUAUUUGACCAUUAUUUCCAACUUUGUGAUACACUUUCAAAGAGUCGGAUUGUUUGGGAAUGCAGUCCAAAAUGGGUGGUAAAUUUCAUCUAAAGCUAAAUACUGGCGAGAGACCGAUAGCGAACAAGUACCGUGAGGGAAAGAUGAAAAGAACUUUGAAAAGAGAGUUAAACAGUACGUGAAAUUGUCAAAAGGGAAGCGUUUGGCACCAGUGUUGUUUUUCCGAAAAUCAAUUAAGAAUGGCCGGAUUUUAAGUUUCAUGACCUUAAAAGCUUGUUUCUUAUUUUUCUUGUCUUUCUUAAUGCACUUUUCGGUUAACAAGUCAACAUCAAUUUCUUUUGUUGUAAAAGGUUAAGAGGAAGGUGGCUUUACUUUCGGGUAAAGUGUUUAUAGCCUUUUAACUCUGCAAUCGGAGAGAUUGAGGUCUGCAGCGUAGAUCCUUCGGGGCUAGAUACGUUUGUGCUAAGUUAUAGCUUUUCAUAGACAACUUGUUGACUAUGUUUAGUCUUGUAGCUUACUCGCAUGCGCUAUUUUACCUACGCUUAGGAUGUUGACACACGCGCGUGCUC